UACAGAGGGUGCAAGCGUUGUUCGGAUUUACUGGGCGUAAAGCGCGUGUAGGCGGUGACAUAAGUCGGAUGUGAAAUCCCUCGGCUUAACCGAGGACGUGCACCCGAUACUGUGCCACUUGAGUACCGGAGGGGAUGGCGGAAUUCCUGGUGUAGAGGUGAAAUUCGUAGAUAUCAGGAGGAACACCUGUGGCGAAGGCGGCCAUCUGGACGGUAACUGACGCUGAGACGCGAAAGCGUGGGUAGCAAACAGGAUUAGAUACCCUGGUAGUCCACGCUGUAAACGAUGAGUGCUAGGCGUCGCGGGUAUUGACCCCUGCGGUGCCGAAGUUAACACGUUAAGCACUCCGCCUGGGGAGUACGGUCGCAAGAUUAAA
rnacentral:rRNA from 1 species